GUUACAGUACUUAGGGUCGCAAAGAGUCAAGCGACUUAGCACAAUCUAAGCACGAAGUGAGUUACGGAAUCAUAGGGCCUUCCCAUUUUAAUGCCCCCUCCUCACAGGGAGUCUUUCUUUGCUUAAGAAGCUCAGUUUGUGUUCUUGGGUGUGGGCUAUACUGUUUCUCUUUCCCAAAGCACUUGGUGGUUUUUAAGAGGUUCUUUGCCUGCAGGAGCUCCUCUAAACCCACAGUUGAGGAGGGACUGUGAUGGAAUUUGUUGCUAAGUGCAUGGAAUGGCUUAUGGAGCAUUGUGACUCAAGCCCUGUAUUACCUUAAGCAAAGUACUUAACCUCUCUGUGCCUCAACUUCACCUUCUGUAAAAUGAGAUGAUGCUAUGAUCUCACAGGCUGCUGUAAAGAAGUGGAGGCCCAGGGAGCUGAAGUUUUUCCAGCAUUUCCCACUGGAAUUCUCUCCAGCCUGAGGAAUGAGACCGCGGCCUACCCUUUGCCACCUGAGGACCCCCAGAGACAGCAGGAACGGAUUGAACAGCGUGGGACGGUCCCCGGGCAUCCGCCAUGAGGUCACCAGUCGGCCCUUGAGUGGGCUCCCAGCCUUGCCCUCCGCUGGCCUCUUGUCUGCCUGUCAAACAGGGUCCAGUGUUGGCCCCCAGGUCCCUUUGGUGGGAUGGGGGAGUCCCUGAUGACAGCCUCCCCUGCCCAUGCUGCCAUGCCCACCUCAAAGGCCCAGAGUUGCCAUCUUCCUCCAUCCCAGAACUGCCAAGAAAAGAGCUUGUGAACUCA